rnacentral:sRNA from 1 species
GUUUCCUGGGCUACUACGAUGGCGAUGAGUUUCGAGUGGCCGUGGCAGUAUCGCUUCCCACCCUUCUUUACGUUACAACCGAAUGUGGACACUCGGCAGAAGCAGCUGGCCGCCUGGUGCUCGCUGGUCCUGUCCUUCUGCCGCCUGCACAAACAGUCCAGCAUGACGGUGAUGGAAGCUCAGGAGAGCCCGCUCUUCAACAACGUCAAGCUACAGCGUAUCCUCCCUCAGGCUCUUCCACAGCCCAUACACAUGCACUUCUGCGCUUUCACACAUGCCCAGACGCCCCCCCGCGCCAGCCCCCUUUUACCCAUGGUAGGCAGAUUCCCACCCAAACUGGACUUAAAGAGUGAAAAUGUGUAGCUGACAUUUUCCCCCGGCAAAUGCAGUACCAUACCCUCUUGUUCUUGGCAGUGAUGACUGCUCGGAUGUCAUUAAGGUCUUAGAAUUUCUGCCCUGAAGCCAAGUUCCAAGUUUUUUAACCUAAACCCUUUUGACUAUUUGUAUCUUCCAUCCUUUUCUGUGUGAGGCCCAGACUUGGGUAACUACCUUUAAUUAUUUUCUCUGCCCCCCUCCUGCCAGGAAGUAAGGGUCAUUUGUUUUUGCUGCCUGAUUCAUCCCUAAAAUAUCUGUGGAGAAAGGCUGAAGGAAGGCAACAGACAGAGGG